rnacentral:rRNA from 1 species
AUUGAACGCUGGCGGCAUGCUUUACACAUGCAAGUCGAACGGUAGAGGGGGCAACCCCUUGAGAGUGGCGAACGGGUGAGUAAUGCAUCGGAACGUGCCCAGUCGUGGGGGAUAACGCAGCGAAAGCUGUGCUAAUACCGCAUACGAUCUCUGGAUGAAAGCGGGGGACCGAAAGGCCUCGCGCGAUUGGAGCGGCCGAUGUCAGAUUAGGGAGUUGGUGGGGUAAAGGCUCACCAAGCCAACGAUCUGUAGCUGGUCUGAGAGGACGACCAGCCACACUGGGACUGAGACACGGCCCAGACUCCUACGGGGGGCAGCAGUGGGGAAUUUUGGACAAUGGGCGCAAGCCUGAUCCAGCAAUGCCGCGUGCAGGAAGAAGGCCUUCGGGUUGUAAACUGCUUUUGUACGGGACGAAAAGGUCUGGGUUAAUACCCUGGGCACAUGACGGUACCGUAAGAAUAAGCACCGGCUAACUACGUGCCAGCCGCCGCAGUAA